AGUAUUAAUUUAUGUAGAGAGCCGACUUUGUGUAGGGCCUCGUUGCGACAGCCAAGCUGACCCCAGUGACAGCAGUUCUGACCACCCUCGAACUGUGACGACACCAUCACCUUCUGAUGACGAUGAUGACGAAACCCAACAUGGACAAAAAGCACCCCAUAAAGAUAACGGCGGCAUUGUCAUGGUUCCUUCAGUGUUAACCACUAGUGUCUUGUUGCUAUGUGUUUUCUUCGUUACCAAGUAGAUUUAAAUGUCAGAUUUAAUCUUAUCAGCCAUACAAUAGCUAACAGUCUAUCAAAUUUAUUUCAAUAUCAAUUUUUGAGAUUGUGAACCAAAUAUCUAGGCAAUUUUCACAAUCAUAAAACUCCAUCCUCAGGAUUUUCUUAUUGGUACAAAACCCUCGGUUUCUCGGUGCCUCGCGAUCGGGUUUCAUCCAAUUUGAAAACCCUUUCAGUGAUAUUUCCUUAUCCUUCACACCGGGCAUAAAGGUGUUUUAUAAUCAAUAACCUGAGAAGGAUUCGAACCACGGGUCAUUGGUCCUGAAUGUUCGAAAAUGAAAGAAGACAAAACGACAAACAGUAGCAACCCUUCACUACAAACAUGGUGUCGUUUAUCUACAAACUUGUGUAUGUCGGUCUAAAUAAGCUUGUACGUUACACUUCAUUUGUGUUGUACUUUUAUUGACCAUGAAAAUAAAAAAUGUGAUAUACAGUGUUAAGCGUAUCUGUAUCAUAAUGUGAUGUAAUAUAAUAACAUGAUACAAUGUAUAUAUGUUCCAUAACGUCAAGUUUCAAUUCAUUAAAAAGAACAUCAUUAUGACAUUUA